rnacentral:rRNA from 1 species
UACGUAGGGUGCGAGCGUUGUCCGGAAUUAUUGGGCGUAAAGAGCUUGUAGGCGGUUUGUCGCGUCUGCUGUGAAAAUCCGGGGCUCAACCCCGGACUUGCAGUGGGUACGGGCAGACUAGAGUCUGGUAGGGGAGUGGGGAAUUCCUGGUGUAGCGGUGAAAUGCGCAGAUAUCAGGAGGAACACCGGUGGCGAAGGCGGGUCUCUGGGCCGAUACUGACGCUGAGAAGCGAAAGCGUGGGGAGCGAACAGG